rnacentral:lncRNA from 1 species
UGCAGAAAUGUAUACCUGAAAGACAAAAAUAAUAGAAAAUGGAAGGAUCAGCAACAAACAACAGCAGCCAGCCCAGAUUUAGGUCACUCAGCAAUGGAAAAGUGAAAUCUCACCAGAAAACUUAGCAAAAUAGUAUCCUAAUCGAUGCAAUUAACCCAGCUCUUUCACUACCCAAGUUGAAACCAGUCUUUCACCUGAAAGGGUACUUAGAAGUUGUUUUAGUAAUGAAAGAAAGCUUCAAAAUUCAGGAGUUCAAUGGAAUAGUAUUCUUCACUAAUUUUCAACAGUCUCAAUUCUUUUUGGUUUUUUUUUAGCUCCCUCUUUCUUUCCUUGAAAGGCAAGAAUGAUAUCUUAUAGAGGCUUAGCAAUAAGGCAACCUUCAAGUAUUUUAUUUCAACCUAUUCCCUCAUUUUAUUUAUUAUUUGGUCAAAAGAUCUUAACUUGUUUUCCAAUCUAUACUUACCAAGUCAUUGAAAUACCAACUAGAACCUCCUUCUAGAAGAUUCUAGGAAAUUCCCAUCUCAAUCCCUACAUUACUACUUACUGUGGCUACCUAGAUUGCCCCUAAAUCUAACCAGAAUUACUAUCCAUGUAUAAGCCUAAACCCAACCCCUUUUGCACCUUGGUCAGUAGCCCUAGUUAAUUAUCCGGGGACUAGAACUAUCGAGCUAUGAAUAAACUAAAGUACACCAUCAAAAAAAUACCAUAUACUCAACAGCAACAAACAUGGAUCAACAACCAAAAUUAAAAUACUGAAGGAACAAAAACAUGCUUUCAGCCUAUAAUACUUGAAAUCAAACGCCAAUUUAAAGAGGAAAAAAAUCAUAUUUUCAUUCUGAAAUGAUUAGAAUCAAACACAAAUAACAAAACAAACAGAAGAUAUAUAGACUCAUGUUUUCACAAAAAUAAAAAUAAAUUAAAAAAACACAGGAUGGCAAAUGAAGAACGAAAGAAGAAAAGCAAGUUGAAUUAAGCCUGAAUCAUAAAAAGGGGUUGGACGUGAAUUUAAAAAGAAAAUGGCUAGCUAAAACUUACUGAAUAACUUGAACCGCAUUUGACGCUCUGAUUCACCUAGAAUUGAGGCCAACCGUUGCAUGGCAUAGAUUUAUAUAGAUUCGAUUCAAAGAAAUCAAAUCUAGGAGUCAAGUGACUCGAACCAUUAACCUUUGGACUUCAGAUCUGGGCUUGAACAAAUUUGGACAAUCUUGAAGGGAAAUAAUGAAAUAAGGGGCAUGAGGAAGGUAUGAGGUUAUGGGGUGGUGUUCUGAGGUUGUUUGGGAGCGGGGCCGCCAUAUGUGGCGGAGCAGCCACCAUUUCAAUUGAAGGUUCUAGGAGAUUGGAUGAGAUUUGAAGGUUGGUAGUGGUGUAUUCAGAAAGAGGAAGGAUGAGAGAUCAACUGGUGUUAAUUUGGAGUUGUUUGGAGCCUCGCCGAUGGCGGCGAUAAUUUCUGGCUGGCGACGGACUGUGAAAGGACGGUAGUGAACGGUGGUGUUACAUUUCUG